UACGUAGGGGGCAAGCGUUGUCCGGAAUCAUUGGGCGUAAAGAGCGCGUAGGCGGCCCAGUAAGUCCGCUCUGAAAGUCAGGGGCUCAACCCCUGGAUGCGGGUGGAUACUGCUGGGCUAGAGUCCGGAAGAGGCGAGUGGAAUUCCUGGUGUAAGCGGUGAAAUGCGCAGAUAUCAGGAGGAACACCGAUGGCGAAGGCAGACUCGCUGGGACGGUAACUGACGCUGGAGGCGCGAAAGCGUGGGGAG
rnacentral:rRNA from 1 species